rnacentral:rRNA from 1 species
UACGGAGGGUGCAAGCGUUAAUCGGAAUUACUGGGCGUAAAGCGUGCGUAGGCGGUUUGUUAAGUCUGCUGUGAAAUCCCCGAGCUCAACUUGGGAAUUGCAGUGGAUACUGGCAAGCUGGAGUACGGUAGAGGAAGGUGGAAUUCCCGGUGUAGCAGUGAAAUGCGUAGAGAUCGGGAGGAACACCGGUGGCGAAGGCGGUUCGCUGGGCCUUACCUGACGCUGAGGAGCGAAAGCGUGGGGAGCGAACAGG